GACAGAGGGUGCAACCGUUGUUCGGAAUUACUGGGCGUAAAGCGAGUGUAGGCGGUCCGAUAAGUCGGGUGUGAAAGCCCUGGGCUCAACCCAGGAAGUGCACUCGAAACUGCCGGGCUAGAGUAUCGGAGAGGUUGGUGGAAUUCUCGGUGUAGAGGUGAAAUUCGUAGAUAUCGAGAGGAACACCGGUGGCGAAGGCGGCCAACUGGACGAAUACUGACGCUGAGACUCGAAAGCGUGGGGAGCAAACAGG
rnacentral:rRNA from 1 species